rnacentral:tRNA from 1 species
GAAGGUGUAGCUCAGUGGUAGAGUACUUGCCUAGCAAUGUGCAAGGCCCUGGGUUCAAUCCCCAGCACCACCA